rnacentral:rRNA from 1 species
GUGGGGAAUAUUGGACAAUGGGCGAAAGCCUGAUCCAGCCAUGCCGCGUGUGUGAAGAAGGUCUUCGGAUUGUAAAGCACUUUAAGUUGGGAGGAAGGGCAGUAAGUUAAUACCUUGCUGUUUUGACGUUACCGACAGAAUAAGCACCGGCUAACUUCGUGCCAGCAGCCGCGGUAAUACGAAGGGUGCAAGCGUUAAUCGGACUUACUGGGCGUAAAGCGCGCGUAGGUGGUUUUGUAAGUUGGAGGUGAAAUCCCCGCGCUCAACCUGGGAACUGCCUCCAAAAAUGCAUGAAUAGAGUACGGUAGAGGGUAGUGGAAUUUCCUGUGUAGCGGUGAAAUGCGUAGAUAUAGGAAGGAACACCAGUGGCGAAGGCGACUACCUGGACUGAUACUGACACUGAGGUGCGAAAGCGUGGUGAGCAAACAGGAUUAGAAACCCUGGUAGUCC